GAUGAAGAACGUAGCGAAAUGCGAUACUUGGUGUGAAUUGCAGAAUCCCGUGAACCAUCGAGUCUUUGAACGCAAGUUGCGCCCGAAGCCACUAGGCCGAGGGCACGCCUGCCUGGGCGUCACACGCCGUUGCCCCCCCAUCUACUCCUUCGGGAUUGCGGGGGGGCGGAUGAUGGCCUCCCGUGCGCCUAGCCGCGCGGUUGGCAUAAAUACCAAGUCCUCUGCGACGCACGCCACGACAAUCGGUGGUUGCGAAACCUCGGUUGCCCGUCGUGUGCGUUCGUCGCGCAUCGAGGGCUCGAAAAAAUGCUCGGCUCCGGCUGGGCUUUCAACGCGACCCCAGGUCAGGCGGGGUUACCCGCUGAAUUUAAGCAUAUCAAUAAGCGGAGGA
rnacentral:misc_RNA from 1 species